rnacentral:lncRNA from 1 species
CACAGAAAGUGCUAAGUUUGUAAAAGAGUCUGAAAAGGUUCAGAAAAGUAGCAUAAAAGGAACUGGGGAACGCCCCGUGAAUUUUGAACAGAGAGCAGAAAAGGGACCCUAAAAAGCAAUUAGUGAUGCUGCUUGUAAAUGAAGAGGCACCUAGUUUGGGGUGGGGAGCUGAGUCUGGAGGUACAUUUUUGACUCUAUGGGAAGCUAUGUUAUAGAAAGCUCAGUGAACAAGAUGGACACCCACAUUGUAGAAAUAUUUCCUCCCAUCUCACUUUAACAGAAAAAAAGCCCAAACAAACAAAAACAAGACAAAUUGAAAAAGAGCUUCAAGUAGAGAAAGCAUCAAGAAUAUAGAACUACAUUUCUUUGUCAAAAUAUUUAUAAUAAAAAGAAAUGACAUCA